ACGGGCACACUGGCCCCACGCUGGCGGGAUUGCUUCUACAGGAUCUGCAAAAGGAUUGCUGUAAGGAUGGAGAGAGAGAGGCAUUCUUAAAGCACUGAUGAAACGCAGAGAAUUGUGGCUGGUUGUUAGAAUAUACUGCGGAGACGGAUGAAACAAAAUCGGCAAAAUGCUGAUCACUGUAGACGCUGGGAGAUGGGUACGGCACAAGGAGAGUCACUAAGCUCUUCCCUCUAGUUUUGUGUAUGUUUAAAAUUUUCCCAACUA
rnacentral:lncRNA from 10 species